rnacentral:misc_RNA from 1 species
GAUGAAGAACGCAGCGAAAUGCGAUAAGUAAUGUGAAUUGCAGAAUUCAGUGAAUCAUCGAAUCUUUGAACGCACCUUGCGCUCCUUGGUAUUCCGAGGAGCAUGCCUGUUUGAGUGUCAUGAAAUUCUCAACCUUUUCAGCUUUCUUUGUUGAUCAGGUUUGGAUGUGGGAGUAUGCGGGCUUCUCAGAAGUCGGCUCUCCUGAAAUGCAUUAGCGGGACCUUUGUUGCCUGGCUUUGGUGUGAUAAUUAUCUACGCCAUUGUGGUCAAGCAGCUUAAAAUGAGGUUUCAGCUUCUAACCGUCUCCCCUGAGACAACUUUUUGACAAUUUGACCUCAAAUCAGGUAGGACUACCCGCUGAACUUAAGCAUAUCAAUAAGCGGAGGA